rnacentral:ncRNA from 1 species
CCUAGCACUUCCGUGCCAGGUUAAUGUAUGGCGUGCCUUCGGCACU